UACAGAGGUCUCAAGCGUUGUUCGGAUUCAUUGGGCGUAAAGGGUGCGUAGGUGGCGCGUUAAGUCAGGUGUGAAAUUUUCGGAGCUUAACUCCGAAACUGCAUUUGAUACUGGCGUGCUUGAGGACUGGAGAGGAGACUGGAAUUCAUGGUGUAGCAGUGAAAUGCGUAGAGAUCAUGAGGAAGACCAGUGGCGAAGGCGGGUCUCUGGACAGUUCCUGACACUGAGACACGAAGGCCAGGGGAGCAAACGGG
rnacentral:rRNA from 1 species